CCUACGGGAGGCAGCAGUAGGGAAUAUUGCUCAAUGGGGGAAACCCUGAAGCAGCAACGCCGCGUGGAGGAUGAAGGUUUUCGGAGUGUAAACCCCUUUUGUUAGAGAAGAUAAUGACGGUAUCUAACGAAUAAGCACCGGCUAACUCCGUGCCAGCAGCCGCGGCAAUACGGAGGGUGCAAGCGUUACUCGGAAUCACUGGGCGUAAAGAGCGCGUAGGCGGGAUAGCAAGUCAGAUGUGAAAUCCUAUGGCUUAACCAUAGAACUGCAUUUGAAACUGUUAGUCUAGAGUGUGGGAGAGGUAGGUGGAAUUCUUGGUGUAGGGGUAAAAUCCGUAGAGAUCAAGAGGAAUACUCAUUGCGAAGGCGACCUGCUAGAACAUAACUGACGCUGAUGCGCGAAAGCGUGGGGAGCAAACAGGAUUAGAUACCCGGGUAGUC
rnacentral:rRNA from 1 species